AUUUUGUAUAAAAGUAGUUUGCCAGGAUAGAUUACCUAUAUCCAGGUCUUCUCUUCAAGAUGCGCUGCACACUGAUUAUCUGCGUUUUGUUACUUGCUCUGAUAGGAAGUACCUGUGUUCCGAGCGUCGAAGCCCAGUGCCGUUGUGGGUUUUCAUGCGGUAGCUCUGAAUGUUACGCCGGAAGAUGUGGCAGGUUGGGUUGGCGUAAAUGGUGCUGCCGAAAAGGGACUCAAAAAUGCCGCUAGAUACUGCAUGUGGACACUUUCAUCUAGACUUUUGUCAAAGAUUGUUUUAAUUAUAUCUUGCUAAAACUGUUCACAUGACUAGUGUUUACCUGCAAUAAAACAAAAACAAAAACUAUCUGCAUAUAAGAAAUAUGUUUACUAAAAUAAACACAUACUCUGCAUA